rnacentral:ncRNA from 1 species
AUAAAAAUAACUUAACCUCGUAUAACCCUGGUAAUAUGGUCCAGGGGUCUCUACCGGGUAACCGUAAAUUACCCUGGCUACGAGGGCGUA